AAAAAGGGAAAUCGACGUAGGGCCUCUGGGUCACCUCCCCCCGUGUUUAUCGUACCUUGUUGCUUCGGCGGGCCCGCCUCCGUUAGAGGGGGGGCAUCCGCCCCCGGGCCCGCGCCCGCCGACCAUACACAAACGAACUCUUGUCUGAAGAUUGCAGUCUGAGUACUUGACUAAAUCAGUUAAAACUUUCAACAACGGAUCUCUUGGUUCCGGCAUCGAUGAAGAACGCAGCGAAAUGCGAUAAGUAAUGUGAAUUGCAGAAUUCAGUGAAUCAUCGAGUCUUUGAACGCACAUUGCGCCCCCUGGUAUUCCGGGGGGCAUGCCUGUCCGAGCGUCAUUGCUGCCCUCAAGCACGGCUUGUGUGUUGGGCUCUCGCCCCCCGCUUCCGGGGGGCGGGCCCGAAAGGCAGCGGCGGCACCGCGUCCGGUCCUCGAGCGUAUGGGGCUUCGUCACCCGCUCUGUAGGCCCGGCCGGCGCCCGCCGGCGAACACCAUCAAUCUUAACCAGGUUGACCUCGGAUCAGGUAGGGAUACCCGCUGAACUUAAGCAUAUCAAUAAGCCGGAGGAAAAAAAUUUU
rnacentral:misc_RNA from 1 species